rnacentral:lncRNA from 1 species
CGGCGCUGCAGGCGGGGCCUGCCCCGCACGUCACCGGCAAGAUGGCGGCGCCCGGCUGGCCUAGCCUGGCGGAGCGGGGGAGCCCCCUGCCCCAACUCGGAGCUUUGGUGCAUUGAUCCUCUGUGAACUGCUCAGUUUGGAGUCUUUGCUAUUCAUUGAAUGCAUACAUCAACCUCUGAGGAAAGACUUCCUGUAAACACAUCUAUUUUGCUUUAAGUGUAAGUAGCCUAUCUCUUGAGCUGUAAAUUUUCUAAGAUUAUAAUAAAUGCUCAUGUAGUUGUUCA